GACCCAAUGCCGGAAGUAGCUUAUCGUAGAGGAACUUCGAUCAUGGCCACCAAAACAGACGGGGCGACUGAGAGACCGAGUUAUAACCGACAGCGAAGUAACAGCGAUCCACAGCCGGCAGUUGAUGUUCUAAACGCUCUAAACACUGACAAAGCCGACGCCAGCUGGAGCACCAACACAAUUGGCCGAACUGAGAAUUCACGGAGAAAUGGCGAGCUAAAGUCAGGAUCACUAGGAACUAAUACUCCACCACCUGAAAGAAAAAGCAGCAAGUUUGCAGCUCUAGGUAAAAUAUUCAAGCCAUGGAAAUGGCGGCGAAAGAAAAAGAGCGAAAAGAUAGAAAAGACAGCAGUAGAUUUAGAGAGAAAAAUAUCUAUGCGAACAAGUCGAGAGGAGUUAAUACGUAAAGGAGUGUUACGGGAGCCGGAGGAGAGCCAGCAGAACCAUGUACCAAAGAUAGAGUCUGUGAAGGAAUCUGCCGAAGAGGAGACGGUUGAUGAUACAACUGAGGGGAGGUCAAAACAGGACAUCAGUGUCGACGGAUCGUCUACUGUUACCACGACAACCACAUCCAGUGGACUAGCUGCAGACGUUGUUGCAUCAACACAGCCAGCAGCAUCAUCCACAUCCUCCACCAUCACCACCCAGGCAGAAAUAACGCCCACAAGUAUUAAUCCCACAGUAUCGUCCUCUGCUAGCGUGCGGCCAGUCGUGGUGCCCCCUCCAGUGGUGCCACCCAUGGAGUUGAUGCAGCCACCUCCUCCCACCUAUCCCCCCUCUGCGGAUGCACAGAACUCCCUGGUCAGCUUCAAUGACAGGGUCACACAGAUAAUUCCUGCCCCUAUAGAUGAUGACGAUGAGGAGGAGGAACCGGAGGAGCCCAACAGCGGCCCACCAGCAUAUGAAACCAUCCCAGCCUCUGAACCUGAUCUCUCUCUACGACCCAGCAAAAGUGCUCUCAAACUCAAAAACGGCCAGGCUCCCCCAAUCCCAGCACCCAAACCGAUCUCACAUCAAAAGACGUCAAGCUUAGCGCGGCCAAUGAACACUUCUACUGCAGGCAUUUCAGGAGAGCCAAAAAUAUCACCACUCCCUACUCCGAUGGGAAAACCCGGGGCUCUGAAAGCCCAUGUCACCAUAGCAGCUGAUGAAAGUGACAAGGAAAACAUCCCUGUCAUGUCACAGUCGCAUCAGGCGGCGUCAGCAGCGGCAGCAGCAGCAGCAUUGGCGGCAGCAGCAGCAGUGCAUCAACAGGGGGACUACGACAACAUCCCUGGUGACUCGGACUCGUCUGAUGAGGAAAUCCACUAUAAGGAUGAUGACUGUCCCAGUGGGUUGGCUGCCAAGGUAGCGAGGCAAGACAGCCUUGCACGUUUCCUCAACAACAGACCAUCAAGGAGAGAGCUCAUUGAGAAAAAUAUCAUACCGAACAAGUCUGCGAAUGAAAAACAAACAGACAGAGAAGCCAUCGGAUCAAAAUUGACAAGGCGGUUGAGUUUACGACCCACGCCAGAGGAGUUAGAACAGAGAAAUAUUUUAUACAAUCAGACGAAUGAGGAACGAGAGUUGGACAAGGAAGAAAAGAAGAGGUAUCUCAUCAGAAAGCUGAGCUUCCGACCAAGCAUCGAGGAGCUGAAGGAAAGAAAGAUUAUCAAGUUCAAUGACUAUGUUGAAGUGACAGAUGCAGAAAUGUACGACCGUCGAGCAGACAAACCCUGGACCAGACUAACACCUAAAGAUAAGGCGGCAAUACGGAAGGAGCUCAAUGAGUUCAAGAGUAAAGAAAUGGAGGUCCACGAGGAGAGCAAGCACCUCACAAGAUUUCACAGACCUUGAUGCCAUAAACUCUAUGCAGGACUACACUUGAACCUAUGUAAGGAGCUUGCAAUAUAUCUAUCCAAUCAGCAAGCCGCCUGCAAACACAUGACUGUUCAGAGUUACCUCCCUGUGCAGGCCAUGAGCCUAUGUGAUACAAGUCUAUGUAUUCAUGGAGACUGGAUAUCUACAGAUUUUCAUAACAAAUGACGUUUUUACAUGAGUGAGUUUCUAUUAGGGUCUUGAAUGUUGGAAUGUAUCAUCUAGUGCUAGAAGCCCAGGAAUGUUCAGUGUUGGGAAGUGUUACUGGUUGACCCUCCUGUGCUGGACACCUCACUUCCUGGACGCGCAGGCUUCAUACAUACAUGGUGCAUUGAUGGAAGUGUGUGUGUGCAAUUAUUCACAUAUGUGAGGGCGGGUGCUCGGCAGAUAUCUUUACUUCAGUUGACGGACAGGAACUUGAAAAAGAGCUUCUUGCUGUAUACGAUCUCGUAGACAAGAUGUCGGCCAUUGCUGUGGAUGAUCACGUCUGGUUACGCCACGACCACUCUCACGGAGUUGGAUGUUGACCAGCAUCGCCGGUGCUAUCACGUCCAACAUUGACGUUGCUAACCAGUAACCAUCGUAACCGUGCUGAAGGCAGGGAUCACAUCAGACAGUCACCAGUAUCGUAUUGGGACUUAUUUUUCAACCUUUUUGAAUUUUUUUUUUUUUUUCAGUACCUCAUGUUGCAGCAGAUAAUAUUUUGUGUAAAGUUUUGAAACCUGUCUGGCAACAACUAAGCUAUUUGCUGUAGCAAACAGUAUGUGCAACUGCCUGUAUUGAAGUCCAAUAAUUUGAUUUGACUGAGAAUAUGACAACACAUUCCCAUAUUGGGCAGCAGUGGAGUGAUAUGUCAGUGUGUAAUGAAGUUGAUAUGAGUUACCUCCCCUGAUAACAUUCAUUAACUGUUUGAUUUCCUGCUCACGUCAGUGGUGCUGUCACAUGUCCUGGCUAAAUUCUACAGAUGGAACUUGUAACAGUUAAGUUUAAGUUUAAUAGUUUGUUUGCAGAUUUCAUCCAUUGCUUCAGUACAGCUGUGUGAGUACUGAUCUAGCGCUGUGCGGCUUGCUGUAAGACAGUACUAAGCGAUAAAUCACUGUGCCACUUGCAGUUAGGCAAUACUAAGUGAUAAAUCACAGUGCUGCUUGCUGUGACAGUACUAAGCGAACAUCACUGCUUGCUGUAAGGCAGUACUAAGCGAUACAUCACUGCGCUGCUUGCUGUAUAGCAGUACUAAACGAUACAUCACUGCGCUGCUUGCUGUAAGGCAGUACUAAGCAAUACAUUGCUGUACUAAACUGAGACGUCUCAGGGCAAAAUCAUCAUUUUUCACAUCACAUUGGAGUUGGUAGUGAAAAGUCUGUGCACAUUCAAGAUAGAAGCAACUUGCAACUGUAAUUUUGAAUACACUAAUCUACAGACUGUUCAUAUUUACAGAAGUUUUUUUUCAUUUUUGCCAAGUCCGAUGUAUUUUACUGUGAUUGACAAGACUUCCUGCUUUGCUCAUAGAACUACGUGAAGAAGAAAGUAGUUCUGUCUCUUUUGUGACAGUACAAUAGGAUUUUUGUCUGACUUGUCGCUUAUCUUGCUGUAUAAUAAAAUAUUAUAACCAACACAGUUGUACGGACAUUAUCAUGUUGGAGCACAACUUACACAAUGAUCCUGUCUGUGGGAUUCAUUCAGUGUUAUACGGGACAGGCAGGAUAGUUGCAUUAAUGUCUCUUUCCAAACCAGAUGGUUCUCUUAACAUCUAUCAAAAACAUUUUUCAUUAAUUUACAUUUUUUUAGAGAAUGUUGUCACCAUCUUAUGAUGUGCUUCUUUCAGUCUGCUAUCUGGAGAGCUACCAGUGUUAAUCAAGAAUAGGAUCAUACUUCUCAACUGAGAAUAGCAUUGCUCUUCUCAAACGAGAAUAGCAUCUCACUUCUCAACCGAGAAUAGCAUUGCACUUCUCAACCGAGAAUAGCAUCGCUCUUCUCAACCGAGAAUAGCAUCGCACUUCUCAACCGAGAAUAGCAUUGCUCUUCUCAACCGAGAAUAGCAUCGCACUUCUCAACCGAGAAUAGCAUCGCAUUUCUCGUGUUCCAUUGCUCCAAGUGCUUUCCCUGAUCAUGUGCAAAACUAUGUUGUUUUUAUUUGAUGAACGUGGUGUACUGUUUCAUAAGUUUCAACCUUUUGAUCACUUUUUUUUCUAAAAAUGUACUUGUUUAGCGAUAAAACAAAACUCUAAAAAACAAAAAGUUGACCACUGUCCCAGGAAACCCUUAACAAAAGUCAACAAUUAGAAAAACAUAUCACUUGGCAUGUUCAUGUCAUUGCCGCCAUACUUCUACUUGUUCCCAGGAAACUAUCUAUUAUAUGUGUAUAUAUAUAGCUGUACUUAUUUUAACUGUUUAAUAUAUGUCAUAAAAUGGCACAUCCGUGAAUUAAAUGUUUUUUAGAUGGUACCUAUUUUGUUUAACUUCGUCAGGAAUUUUACUUUCUGAUAGCCACCUGAUGGUGAACGCUUGCAUUUGCCUAACAGCUGCUCACGCCAGUCUGUGUACAUCUGUCCGCCAUGACAAUCAAGAGUUUUCUUUCAUAGAUUGAAGAACUGUUUGUAACAAGAAUUGAGGAUGAAAUGUGUCUACUGCAGCGUAGGUUUGUAAAAGGUGCACUGCAGGUUGCAAGAAAAGGACUUCAUUUUCAGUAGCUGUUUUUCUUUAGUGUUAUGUCACUGUUGUCAUCGAGUGGAAGUCAUUAAGUGGUGGCACACUGUCAGAUAAACAUUGUCUUGGUGUAAUAACACGAUGUCACAUGGUCGCAUCCAGUGUUGCUGUACCACUCCUUGUCUGCAUGUCCUGUGUAAAUACAUCACGCUACUGUACACUACAGCAGUCUGUGACAAAAGCUUUAGUCUACCAGCCCAGACCUGACAUCAGUUUCAGUAGCUCUUGGUGUUAAUGUAUGGACUUCUAUUACCAAAGUACUAGACUGAAAACCAGUUUACUAGAUUCGGGCUACGGACUUGUGGCUGAAGUCACAGACUGCUGCAGCUCAGUUUGUGUGUCCCUGUGUAAACAAAUCACUACUAUUCACUAUAUCCCUAUCAGGAGUAUGCGCAGCCCUACUAAUAGCCUGUGGUACAACCGAUCUGCAAUAUGAGUAAGCACUCCAAGUCUGCAUGUAACAGAGGAGCUCUCAACAGUGACCUCAGAUUGUCUUAAGAGGCUGUAUAGAGAAACUUGUUCCUAUCUUAAUUCUUUCACAAUGUGUGUCGUGUGUGACCUGUGUACAUGUUAAGAUGUGUGUCGUGUGUGACUUUGUAAUUUUAUACACUGUACAUAACAUGACUUGAUCACUGCUUGCCCAUCUGUCCAUCCCUUAAACACAUUUCAGGGUACCGUAGUACAAAGUGAUCUCAGCGCUAAGGUGAACAUAACACCAAUACCUUAACAGACUUAAGACAGUCGUGGCGCUAAGGUUUUGUACAAUGGCACCCAGGCCUUUGUUCUGUCCCUGCCAACAGGGUCACUACAGGCCUUUGUUUUGACCCUGCUGACUCGGUCCCAACAGGCCUUUGUUCCAACAGGCCUUUGUUCUGUCCCUGACAACAGGGUCCCUACAAAGCUGUAAGUGCAGAAUCUGCAUAAGAUGAUAACUUCAGAUUUUGAGGGGUCAACAAUCUGAAGUCAUUAUCUUGACCAGUUUCAGAUAGCUCUGGCUCGUUACCAUCAAACCAAUGCAAGUCCUCAUGCAGGACUCAAUAUAUUCAUACAUUUUUUUACCACAUUUUUAAUUUCAGUGCCAAGUCUAUGUUGAAAUUUUAAGUGUUGACAUGUCUAGUACAAGUUUGAAAUGAGGAAGGCAUUACACGAGUUAAGGAAGUGAAUUGUUGCUGCAGUGCUUCUCCCGAGUCUCAAGAUGUUCGUUGUAUAUCACGUGCUCAUGGGGACAUAUGUACAUGAUAUGAAUAACACGGUGGAUCACACUAUAUGUAUAUAUUUUUGUAUGUAGAGGAUACCGCCACCAUUGUAAACUAUGUAAUUAUAAUGCUAUAACUAUGGUGAAAGCUUUUCUACCUGAUGUGUAUGGUUGUAACCAUUUCUAACAUUUCUGUGGAAACCUCUUACCCAUAAUGCAUUGCCAACUGGCUAUAGGGGAAAGCCACUGUACUGUGUGUGAGCAUUGUACAUAGGAGUCGGGAUUGCCAAGUGCUGUGCCUCGAAAAGGUGGAAUAAAAUGCAGCUACAACAA
rnacentral:misc_RNA from 1 species